AACGAACGCUGGCGGCGCGUCUUAAACAUGCAAGUCGAACGAUCUGUAGCAAUACAGGGAGUGGCGGACGGGGUGAGGAACACGUAGGAAUCUACCUUGAAGAGCGGGACAACUUUGGGAAACCGGGGCUAAUACCGCAUAGUACAGAGAUGUUAAAGGGCUAGCAAUAGUCGCUUCGAGAUGAGCCUGCGGUCUAUCAGCUUGUUGGUGAGGUAAUGGCUCACCAAGGCUACGACGGAUAGCCGGUCUGAGAGGAUGAUCGGCCACACUGGCACUGAGACACGGGCCAGACUCCUACGGGAGGCAGCAGUUAAGAAUCUUGCGCAAUGGGGGAAACCCUGACGCAGCGACGCCGCGUGAAGGAUGAAGGCUUUCGGGUUGUAACUUCGGUAGACUGGGAAGAAGAAAUACGUUCGUUGAGGGUCGUA
rnacentral:rRNA from 1 species